rnacentral:piRNA from 1 species
UCCUACUGAGUAACAAUGUCAACCUGGCUGU